rnacentral:rRNA from 1 species
UACCAGCUCUCCGAGUGGUGUGGAUGUUUAUUGGGCCUAAAGCAUCCGUAGCUGGCCAAGUUAGUCCCUUGUUAAAUCCACCGAAUUAAUCGUUGGCGUGCGGGGGAUACUGCUCGGCUAGGGGACGGGAGAGGCAGACGGUAUUAUCGGGGUAGGGGUGAAAUCCUAUAAUCCCGGGAAGACCACCAGUGGCGAAGGCUGUCUGCUAGAACGAGCCCGACGGUGAGGGAUGAAAGCUGGGGGAGCGAACCGGAUUAGAUACCCGGGUAGUCCCAGCUGUAAACGAUGCAGGCUAGGUGUUUGGACGGCCACGUGCCGUUCUAGUGCCGCAGGGAAGCUGUUAAGCCUGCCGCCUGGGGAGUACGGUCGCAAGAUUGAAACUUAAAGGAAUUGGCGGGGGAGCACCACAAGGGGUGAAGCUUGCGGUUU